UAUUUUAUUUCGUCCAAUUAAUGAGAAACAAUGAUCGUAAUAAUUCCUCACAAAUUUUGCGAUUAUCAACACGAAAUCAGAUAAUAUACAAAGAAUUAAAUGUUAGAAAUUUAAUGCUCGUUUUAUUUCACUUCACAAAAACAACAUGUUCAUACAGAUUAAUUAAAAAAAUAUUUAUCCAUUAAAAACAAUUCAUGCAAUGGACGAUUAUCGGUCGGAUUUAGGCUGUGAAACUAGUCAUCCUCUCCUCCAUACUCAAUCAAAUAGAUGGAAUAGGACCGGACGGAGUAAUGGACGUCCUCCGUUUGAUAAAAGUUGGAUUCGAAAAAGAUUUAACAAACGUGGAGCUGCAUACAUCUUUCUACUCAUUCUUAUAUGCAUCUUCAUAGUUAUCUAUUAUUGGUGGGAACUAGAUUCAAGCCUUCGUAUAGUUCCAAUCGAACAAAUUAUUAGUAAACCAACCAAUAUGGUCACAUUUAAUGAACUAAUUCAGGAAAAUUUCGAGUUUGACAUAAAAGGGUCAGAUGUCAUGGUUUUCCUGCACAUGCAGAAAACUGGGGGAACUGCCUUUGGCAAGCAUCUAGUUGAGGAUCUCGAACUGGAGAGAGAAUGUGAGUGCUCCAAAGGAUCAAUAUUGGGGAAAAAGAAGAAGAAGUUAAGAUGCAAUUGUUUUAGACCUGGGAAAGGUAAGAAGCAUUGGUUGUUUUCAAGGUAUAGUACAGGAUGGAAGUGUGGACUACAUCCGGACUGGACCGAGCUUACUUCCUGUGUGGACCACUACCUCCAGGGGUUGGAGGGCAAUGAAGCUUCAAGAAGAUAUUUUUACAUCACUUUUCUACGUGAACCAACAGCUAGAUUUAUUAGUGAAUUUAAGCAUGUACAGAGAGGUGCUACAUGGAAGACUUCAACAUAUAUGUGCGGGGGAAUAAGCUGGUACAAGAAACUUCCAAAAUGUUACGAGGGUGAGGAUUGGUCCUAUGUUGACCUUGAGAGCUUUAUAUCCUGUAAACAUAAUUUUGCGGUCAAUAGACAGACAAGGAUGCUGGCUGAUCUAGAACUAGUGAAUUGCUACAACAGUUCUAGAAUGUCUCCUGAGACCAGGGAUAGAAUACUUCUCUCCUCUGCUAAAGCAAACCUGGAGAAAAUGGCGUACUUUGGUGUUACAGAGGAACAGAGGACAUCACAGUAUCUGUUCGAGGCUACAUUCAACCUCAGGUUCAACACCAUAUUAGGACAGUUCAAUAACACCCAUUCGGAGGACGCGGCGGAGAGUUUAACGAAGGAGACAUUGAACCGAAUACGGAAUUUGAAUAGUUUAGAUCACGAGUUGUAUACGUUUGCUCUGCAGUUGAUGGAGAAGAGAUUUCUUACAAUGCAGGGCCUGGAUCCAGGAUACAGGGAGCAUAUGAUUAGACUGAAAACAGCUCCAUCAAAUACAGAUAUAGAACCUGAGGAUUACUAAAUAUUCACCUCUUAUAUAAUCUUGAAGCAAUUAAAUGAAAACUUAUGACAAAUUUUGUAUUAAAUAUUAACAAUUUUAAAUAUGGAGAUGUAUAUUUCCCAUAGUAUCCCCCCUCAUUUUCAUAAACGCUUGCAAAUAAAUAAGAAUACCAAGGUUAUUGUACCGAUUCCAAGUAAACCGUUACCCCGCUAACAAAGUAACGAAACGCUCUUUGAUCCAUCACCCUUUUUCCCCAAAAAUGAAUAAACCUUGUAUUCCAAAAUAUUAAACAAUUUAAAAAAGUGUUAGCAAUACUUACAAAAAACAUUAUAUCAAUAAUAUGUACCGUGUGUGUCAAAACAAACAAAUAAUGCUUCUUAUAGUAAAGUUUAUUUUCUGAAAUCCAAUUUUUAUGUUAACUAUGGAAGACUUUCAGAAUUAUUUUUUACCCACCGUUCUUAUAUGUUCAUUAUAUACCUAAUUUUAUCGAAAAUCUCACCAUACGACUGUGAUAGUUUUUUUUAUUGAUUUAUAUUUCCUCUAACUGUACUAAAGCAGC